AAAUAUCUAUGUCGUGCUAGUCCUACACAUGAUGAAGAGGCUGCGGCAAAGGCAGCUGCAAUCAAUUCUGAUAGUGGAGCUCCAACCAUAUUUGACAAGAUCAUAGCUAAGGAAAUUCCCUCAACCAUCGUGUAUGAAGAUGAUAAAGUCUUAGCAUUCAAAGACAUUAGUCUGCAAGCUCCUGUUCAUGUUUUGGUGAUUCCAAAGUUUAGGGAUGGGUUGACACAGCUUGGGAAGGCUGAACAAAGGCAUGGAGAGAUACUGGGUCAACUUCUUU